AUUACCACCGACCAGUCCUCAGCCGGCAACAUGAAGCUGGGUGGCCUCUGCCUCCUGCUCCUCCUCGCCGUCCUUCUCACCCUCAAUGCAGAGCUCCAGGCAGUUGAGGCCUGCGAGCACCAGUGCAGAGAAGACAGGGACUGUGGGAGUGGACAUCAGUGCGUGAGGAAGGGCUGUGGGCACGUCUGCGCCCCCGUCCAUCAAGUCGAUGUAGGUAUCUGUGUGACGGAGUGCCGUGUAGACCAGGACUGUGGGGAAGGAAGACUAUGCAUCAGUAAUGGGUGUGGCCGUGUCUGCUUCCCAGUCCGGCGAAGAGAGGCCUGCGAGCACCAGUGCAGAGAAGACAGGGACUGUGGGAGUGGACAUCAGUGCGUGAGGAAGGGCUGUGGGCACGUCUGCGCCCCCGUCCAUCAAGUCGAUGUAGGUAUCUGUGUGACGGAGUGCCGUGUAGACCAGGACUGUGGGGAAGGAAGACUAUGCAUCAGUAAUGGGUGUGGCCGUGUCUGCUUCCCAGGGCGAAAAGAGGGCUGCGAGCACCAGUGCAGAGAAGACAGGGACUGUGGGAGUGGACAUCAGUGCGUGAGGAAGGGCUGUGGGCACGUCUGCGCCCCCGUCCAUCAAGUCGGUAUCUGUGUGACGGAGUGCAACGUAGACCAGGACUGUGGGGAAGGAAGACAAUGCACCAGCAAUGGGUGUGGCCGUGUCUGCUCCCCAGUCCAGCAAGAAGAUGUAGGUAUCUGUGUGACGGAGUGCAAGGUAGACCAGGACUGUGGGGAAGGAAGACGAUGCACCAGCAAUGGAUGUGGCCGUGUCUGCUCCCCAGUCCAGCAAAAAGAGGCCUGCGAGCACCAGUGCAGAGAAGACAGGGACUGUGGGAGUGGACAUCAGUGCGUGAGGAAGGGCUGUGGGCACGUCUGUGCCCCCGUCCAUCAAGUCGAUGUAGGUAUCUGUGUGACGGAGUGCAAGGUAGACCAGGACUGUGGGGCAGGAAGACGAUGCACCAGCAAUGGAUGUGGCCGUGUCUGCUCCCCAGCCCAGCAAAGAGAGGCCUGCGAGCACCAAUGCAGAGAAGACAAGGACUGUGGGAGUGGACAUCAGUGCGUGAGGAAGGGCUGUGGGCACGUCUGCUCCCCCAUCCCUCAAGUAGGUAUCUGUGUGACGGAGUGCAAUGUAGACCAGGACUGUGGGGCAGGAAGACGAUGCACCAGCAAUGGAUGUGGCCGUGUCUGCUCCCCACCCCAGGGAGGAGGACUCUGUGUGGACCGCUGCCGAGGAAACUGGGACUGUGGGGCCGGAGAAGAAUGUAUCAGGAAGGGAUGUGGACGGGUCUGCUCUCCAGCCCAGGAGCCAGUGGUAGGUAUCUGUGUGGAUCAGUGCCAAAGACACUGGGAAUGUGGUCCACGGAUGCGGUGUGUCUCCACUGGAUGUGGCCACAUCUGCUCACCAGCCCAAGACCAAGUUGAACAGAGACCCGGAAAAUGUCCAGUGUUGCCAAAAGGAACGAUUGGACUUUGUGCUGAAUUUUGCUUCGGGGAUGACUCCUGUCCCAGCGGACAGAAGUGCUGCAGCAAUGGUUGUGGACACUCUUGCCAGACUGCUGUUCCAGACGAGAAAACCUUCCCUAGCCGUUUGGAUGACUGAUGAACCUUGGCCUCCUUCCAUAAUUGUUCCCACAUGUCACCUUUAUUUGAAGAGCUGGGCUUUUCCAGGAACUCCACCUUUGCCAGGAACCCCAGGAUCAUGGGGUGAGGUUCUAGAAUAACUUGGCUUAAGGGUUGAAUUCUGGCAAUUGUUCAAGGAAUAGUGCUUGCAAAGGAUCCUUCUUCUGAAUAAAACGACUUCUCUGGCA
rnacentral:lncRNA from 1 species